rnacentral:piRNA from 1 species
UAUCAAGCCGUAUACCUACCCUAUCUUUC